AAAGCCUAAGGUGUGGGUUAAUGGAGUAUAAUAGUAUUUUCACUAUUAUACUCCAUUAACCCACACCUUGAGGCCAGGU